GCAGGGUGCAGUGGCGCAUACCUGUAAUCCCAGCAGCUUGGGAGGCUGAGGCAGGAGGAUCGCGAGUUCAAAGCCAGCCUCAGCAAUGGUGAGGCACUUAGCAACUCAGUGAGACUCUGUCUCUA
rnacentral:sRNA from 1 species